UUAAUCGGGGAAGCCCUUCGGGCAGGAAGACAGGUGGUGCAUGGUUGUCGUCAGCCCGUGUCGUGAGAUGUUGGGUUAAGUCCCGCAACGAGCGCAACCCUUAUUUUUAGUUGCUACCAUCCAGUUGAGCACUCUAAAGAGACUGCCCGGGUUAACCGGGAGGAAGGUGGGGAUGACGUCAAAUCAUCAUGCCCCUUAUGUCUAGGGCUACACACGUGCUACAAUGGUGAGAACAAAGAGACGCAAGACCGCGAGGUGGAGCAAAUCCCAAAAAACCGGUCUCAGUUCGGAUUGGAGUCUGCAACUCGACUCCAUGAAGUUGGAAUCGCUAGUAAUCGCGUAUCAGCAUGACGCGGUGAAUACGUUCCCGGGCCUU
rnacentral:rRNA from 1 species